rnacentral:rRNA from 1 species
AACGAACGCUGGCGGCAGGCUUAACACAUGCAAGUCGAACGGGUGUAGUAAUACAUCAGUGGCAGACGGGUGAGUAACACGUGGGAACCUUCCUAGGGGUACGGAACAACUCAGGGAAACUUGAGCUAAUACCGUAUACGUCCGUGAGGAGAAAGAUUUAUCGCCCUUAGACGGGCCCGCGUCGGAUUAGCUAGUUGGUGGGGUAACGGCCUACCAAGGCGACGAUCCGUAGCUGAUCUUAGAGGAUGAUCAGCCACACUGGGACUGAGACACGGCCCAGACUCCUACGGGAGGCAGCAGUGGGGAAUCUUGGACAAUGGGCGCAAGCCUGAUCCAGCCAUGCCGCGUGAGUGAAGAAGGUCUUCGGAUUGUAAAGCUCUUUUGCCAGGGACGAUAAUGACGGUACCUGGAGAAUAAGCCCCGGCAAACUUCGUGCCAGCAGCCGCUGUAA